UUGUUUAUUUCAGCAGCACAUACAAUAAAAUUGGAGCAAUGCAGAGAAGAUUAGCAUGACACAGGGAUGGCAUGCAGAUUCACAAAGCAUUCUGUGUUUUU
ensembl:snRNA U6 U6 spliceosomal RNA